AUUGAACGCUAGCGGGAUGCUUUACACAUGCAAGUCGAACGAGUGGCGGACGUGUGAGUAAUAUAUGGGAAUGUGCCCAGUGGCGGGUGAUAACUACUCGAAAGAGUGGCUAAUACCGCAUACUAUAGGGGCUGCCGAGAUCUGAUUAGCUAGUGGGUGGGGUAAAGGCUCACCAAGGCAACGAUCCGUAGCUGGUGUGCGAGGGUGACCAUCCACACUGGGACUGAGACACGGCCCAGACUCCUACGGGAGGCAGCAGUGGGGAAUUUUGGACAAUGGGGGGAACCCUGAUCCAGCCAUCCCGCGUGUAUGAGAAGGCCUUCGGGUUGUAAAGUACUUUUGGCAGGGAGGCGGUACCUGCAGAAUAAGCACCGGCUAACUACGUGCCAGCCGCCGCGGUAAUAC
rnacentral:rRNA from 1 species